rnacentral:rRNA from 1 species
CAAUAGCGUAUAUUAAAGUUGUUGCAGUUAAAAAGCUCGUAGUUGGACUUCUGCGGGUGGCGGCCGGUCGUGCUCGAAACGGGCGUGAACUUGGCGUGCUGCCCGCAUCUUUGGGGAGAUUGUGCGUGGCAUUAAGUUGUCGUGCAUGGGAUUCUCAUCAUUUACUGUGAAAAAAUUAGAGUGUUUAAAGCAGGCCUUUGCCUUGAAUACAUUAGCAUAAAAUAAUAAGAUAGGACCGUUGUCUAUUUUGUUGGUUUACAGAUGUCGGUAAUGAUUAAUAGGGAUAGUUGGGGGUAUUCGUAUUCAGUUGUCAGAGGUGAAAUUCUUGGAUUUUCGGAAGACGCACGACUGCGAAAGCAUUUACCAAGGAUGUUUUCAUUA